CAAUUUCAUGUUUUUACAAACAAAAAAUUGGAUUCUAGAGCCUGGACAGCACAGGAUAACAUUUUUGUUUCUUCCCCAAAUGUAAAAGAAAUAAAAUAACAGUUCACAAGUCAAUAUAGAAUUCCCCAUUUUAGAAGCUGAUAUUUGCUACAUUACUAUCCGCCAUCCACUCCAGCUGCUGUUACAGGUUGCUCAUUGCUGACAGGGGCUUUCUUCCUACCAGGGCCAGUAGAAACUUUGACCAUUGCUGGUCUUAGAAGCCGACCUCCAAGAAGAAAGCCACGCCGUAAUUCUUGAAUUAUAAUGCCUGCCUUGUACUCUUGUGAUUCCUCACGUGCAAUGGCCUCAUGCAGCGAGGG
rnacentral:misc_RNA from 1 species